CGCCCGAUUCACUGUUCGGACUCGCCGAUUCCGUACAGUGAAUCGGCGAAUCACUGUACCGAAUCGUCCGGUUCCCUCUAGAACCGGACGAUUUCCGAUUUUUCAACCGAUCCGGUCCCUUUUUGCGAAUUCCGAGUCGAACCGGGCGAAUCCGAUUCGACUCGACGUUUUUUAAAACGCUGGCUGAAACCAUUGGAAAUGUUUCCAAAGACUUGAAGCCGUUUCUCCAAUUAUAUUCGAACCAAGUACACAAAAGCCUCAAACAAAUCUACAACCUUGAGAAGCUUCAAUUCCGAGAAUUGAGAAAAACAGUGAUGACAGAGUAACCAUUUCAGGGCUUUCUGGUCAAAUAUUAGACAAUAUUCUCCCCCACUGGUUGAAGAGAGAAAAGUUCCUAGAAAAAGAGGUCUUGCAACUUUGAAAAUCCUAUCCGAGUUGAUCCACCCUAUAGAUCCGUAUCAAAGCACUAGAUUGCCGAUCCCAUUCGGUCUGAAUAACUGAUCUGAAAUGAAGUAUCACGCCUCUAAAAAUGUCAACUUCAAAGAAUACAACCACAAAAAAUAUAGCCUAAAAGAGGCGCUCUAGCGUAUCACCAACUACAACUUCCUCGCUUUUGCUUCAGAGAAUGUCAGGCCUUCACAAAAUUACAGUGGCACUGAGCAGAGUCUCUAGGGAAAAACAUAUCAAGCUCUCUCCAUCUGUCUCAAUAAAAUACAGCAUCGAACAAGGUAAUCCAUACAAAUUGUUGUAUAUUUGUCAAGACAUAGUCCUAAACGAGCUUCUUCUUCCCCUUGCACAGUCUCUUCACCAGAUCAGUAGCAAC
rnacentral:lncRNA from 1 species